rnacentral:rRNA from 1 species
GAGAAAUCUGGGCCAGGAGCCGCGUGAAGGCGGGGGAUGCAUGCGUGAGCCGGUAUCAUUGGGGUUAAAGGGUACGUAGGCGGCCUGUUAAGUCAGUGGUGAAAGUUUGCGGCUUAACCGUAAAAUUGCCAUGGAUACUGAUGGGCUUGAGUGCAGUUGAGGUAGGCGGAAUGUGUAGUGUAGCGGUGAAAUGCUUAGAUAUUACACAGAACUCCGAUUGCGAAGGCAGCUUACUAAACUGUAACUGACGCUGAGGUACGAAAGCGUGGGGAGCGAACAGGAUUAGAUACCCCAGUAGUC